CUCAUUGCUGAUCGUCGUUAGCAAGUGAACCUUUUUUCAGAGGUGUGGCUCGCACCUGUCUAACUAAACUGGGCUACCUUUUACAACACGGUUGCAUCGGUUGGGCCUGCAGAACAGUGCACGAAAGUGCCUGGGGAGGCGGCCUGAUAAUCUACCAAAACACUUUUGAUGAUCUAGGAUUUGAAAGUACUUAACAUUUUACGGCUGGUAAUGCGGUCGUCUAAAAUCUAAAAAACAACUUUUGGCAACGGAUCUCUUGGUUCUCCCAUCGAUGAAGAACGCAGCGAAUUGCGAUAAGUAAUGUGAAUUGCAGAAGUGAAUCAUCGAAUCUUUGAACGCACCUUGCGCUCCUUGCAGAUCUAAUCUGGGGAGCAUGCCUGUUUGAGGGCCGCGAAUUGUUUCGAACGCACGCUUUUUUAUUACGAAAGAGCUGGCGGAUCGGUAGUGAGGGUGUUUUUUGCCAUUUACCGUGGCUCCCUCGAAAUGCAUUAGUGCAUCCAUUUGAUAGGCAAAGACGGACGAAGGCUCGACUUUUGGCCCAUCUUCCUUGCCAGGUUUUGAUAAUAUCAGGGCUUUGGUGAGGAGGAUGAGCAAGAAGCUGGACGCUACGGCCUUUGCUGAUUGGAGUGCUUCUGAACACCGCCCUAGCUAUUUUUUUGGCUAGGGAAUAAUUCAAAUCGGCCUCAGAUUGGUAGGACUACCCGCUGAACUUAAGCAUAUCAAUAAGCCCGGGGGAAA
rnacentral:rRNA from 1 species